AUGCUUGCAUCUCUUGAGAGUGGCGAACGGGUGAGUAACACGUAGGUGAUCUACCGCAGGGUUGGGGAUAGCCCAUGGAAACAUGGGGUAAUACCGAAUACGUUGGGUCCGCUUUGGCGGACUCAAGAAAGGCGCUUCGGCGUCGCCCUGCGAUGAGCCUGCGCCCCAUUAGCUAGUUGGUAGGGUAAAGGCCUACCAAGGCGACGAUGGGUAGCCGGCCUAAGAGGGUGAUCGGCCACACUGGGACUGAGAUACGGCCCAGACUCCUACGGGAGGCAGCAGCUAAGAAUCUUCCGCAAUGGACGAAAGUCUGACGGAGCGACGCCGCGUGGGUGAAGAAGGCCGGAAGGUUGUAAAGCCCUUUUCUUGUUGAGGAAUAAGCACAGGAGGGAAUGCCUGUGCGAUGACGGUAGGCGAGGRAUAAGUCCCGGCCAAUCACGUGACAUCAGACCCGGUAACAUGUAUGGUAUGGGCGUUGUUCGGAAUCAAAUCAUCGUAAAGGGAACGUAAGCUAGGCGGCGAGCUAAGCCUGAUAGGAAACAGCGUAACUUAAGGGCCGGAGCGGGCUCGGAACUGCUUUACUUGAGUAGGGGAGGGGGAGCUGGAAUUCCAGGUGUAGGGGUGAAAUCUGUAGAUAUCUGGAAGAACACCGGCGGCGAAGGCGAGCUCCUGGCCAUGAACUGACGCUGAGGCGCGAAAGCGUGGGGAGCGAACAGGAUUAGAUACCCUGGUAGUCCACGCUGUAAACGAUGUGCACUAGGUGUUGGGCCACGAAGGUUCAGUGCCGGAGUUAACGCGUUAAGUGCACCGCCUGGGGAGUAUGCUCGCAAGGGUGAAACUCAAAGGAAUUGACGGGGGCCCGCACAAGCGGUGGAGCAUGUGGUUUAAUUCGAUGAUACGCGAGGAACCUUACCAGGGUUUGACAUAUGCCGGAAUGUGCAGGAGACUGCGCAGCCUUCGGGGCCGGUAUACAGGUGCUGCAUGGCCGUCGUCAGCUCGUGCCGUGAGGUGUUGGGUUAAGUCCCGCAACGAGCGCAACCCCUACCGUCUGUUGCCAGCAUUUAGUUGGGGACUCAGGCGGAACUGCCGGUGACAAACCGGAGGAAGGUGGGGACGACGUCAGGUCAUCAUGGCCCUUAUAUCCUGGGCUACACACGUGCUACAAUGGCCGGUACAGAGCGAAGCAACACCGCGAGGUAGAGCAAAUCGCAGAAAGCCGGUCUCAGUUCGGAUUGGAGUCUGAAACCCGACUCCAUGAAGUUGGAAUCGCUAGUAAUCGCGCAUGGGCAUGGCGCGGUGG
rnacentral:rRNA from 1 species